GGCGAGACUUGACCUUUGGGUUUCAAUCCCAAAGGCCAGCAAUAUAUUAUUGAUAUCACUUUUGUCCUAAUUCAGAAGUCUCAUAAUGCACUUUGAUAGUGAGAUUGAUAUGAAGGGUCUGUUCUUGUUUUGAAUCUUGCCUAUUCAAAAUAUUCUCCCUCCAUACACUUAUGGGAUCUUUGGGUCUAUUCUGUGUUCUGACCCCCAAAGUCACCUCUUGGUAAAGAGAAGCUACUACUUGACAGCAGGACUGUUGCUUUCAAGAUGGAUGGUCUGGCUUAGCAGAGGAAUAUUAUAGUUAACUUACCCACCUACCAAGCUGAAAACAAGACUGUACAAACUGUGAACCACAAUAAUAAUCAGCUUCAAUUCUUUUUCAUCCAGGAGUUUAUUGGUUAUAUUUUAAAUUUAAACAACAUUGUACAACCUCAGCCCCAUACUUAGAACAGAAAUGAAUGUACUUUCUUUAUUCUGUAUCUAUACUGAGCAUCAAUGUCCUUCUUCACUAUUACUUCUCUCCAUCCUUUCAAAUAUCUGGAUCCUUUUUAAUCUGAAAAAUGAAUGUGAAAUUUUAGUCUGAAAAAUUAUAAAAUUUAUUAUAAAAUAGACACCAAAAUUGCUAGGGCAAAAUUAUUAGGAUGAAAUGAAAGAUGAAAACAGUCAUCCCUGGUCCAGCAAGAGACUUCUUUUAUUCUUAAAUUCAUUCAUUCUCUCUGUGACUGUAUCUCCAUCAUCUCUAGUCCAAUAAAGAUGAGAAAGCAAUUGUUAAGUGUUACUUCAUCUAAAUAAACUUAUGUCUUACUAAAACUGUUCUUAUAAUCUGGCAAACCCUUUUUUCGUAAUCAAGCAGCAGCUGAAUAAUUGAAAAAUAAUUUCUCAUUUUGCAGCUGAUGGACAUUGUUUAUUUUUUUUAUGGGCCAACAAUACCUCUAACAGAAUUGUGGACGCAUUUGCCGUAUCUUCUGUAGAAAUGGAACUGUCUUUGAACAGCAAUCUAGCCCUACCCUUUGUUGAGAGAACAAGGUUGUCCACCCAAAGGUAAAAGGAAGGAUUUAUCGCCAUCCAGGUGCAUUUAAAAGACGAAAAGGGUGCUAAAGGUCAAGAUGGUAGCCAUCGCCACAGUGUUUUUUACGUCUUUAUUUACACCUAUUACAUGUG